rnacentral:rRNA from 1 species
CUUUCUUUGCUGGCGACCGGCGCACGGGUGAGUAACACGUAUCCAACCUGCCCUUUACUCGGGGAUAGCCUUUCGAAAGGAAGAUUAAUACCCGAUAGCAUAAUGAUUCCGCAUGGUUUCAUUAUUAAAGGAUUCCGGUAAAGGAUGGGGAUGCGUUCCAUUAGGUUGUUGGUGAGGUAACGGCUCACCAAGCCUUCGAUGGAUAGGGGUUCUGAGAGGAAGGUCCCCCACAUUGGAACUGAGACACGGUCCAA